GAUGAACGCUGGCGGCGUGCCUAAUACAUGCAAGUCGAGCGAACGGACGAGAAGCUUGCUUCUCUGAUGUUAGCGGCGGACGGGUGAGUAACACGUGGAUAACCUACCUAUAAGACUGGGAUAACUUCGGGAAACCGGAGCUAAUACCGGAUGAUAUUUUGAACCGCAUGGUUCAAAAGUGAAAGACGGUCUUGCUGUCACUUAUAGAUGGAUCCGCGCUGCAUUAGCUAGUUGGUAAGGUAACGGCUUACCAAGGCAACGAUGCAUAGCCGACCUGAGAGGGUGAUCGGCCACACUGGAACUGAGACACGGUCCAGACUCCUACGGGAGGCAGCAGUAGGGAAUCUUCCGCAAUGGGCGAAAGCCUGACGGAGCAGCGCCGCGUGAGUGAUGAAGGUCUUCGGAUCGUAAAACUCUGUUAUUAGGGAAGAACAUAUGUGUAAGUAACUGUGCACAUCUUGACGGUACCUAAUCAGAAAGCCACGGAUAACUACGUG
rnacentral:rRNA from 1 species